rnacentral:sRNA from 1 species
GCAGGGCGGGAAGCGUGCUUGUUCGAAAGUAACCUCGUUUGCUAAACCUCUUCACACUUGCACGCAGUCGAUUCUGCUUCCUACUCCUCCCCACCCUCUUCCUCCCUCGUUUCACCACUUUCCUCCUUCUCAUAUUUUCCCUCGUUGACUUCUUUUGGACCUCCAUGGUUAUUUCUUGCACUCGAAUUCUUCCACUUCUUUACAACUUCCACCUCGUACAUCUUGGUUAUAUUAAACACACAAGCAUCAAACCUAUAAUAUCAUACCAUUUCGCGGGCAUCAAAUGGAUAUUGACACCCUAUACAAGAGAGCAAUGCUCGCUAUCUACCCCUUGCUGAAACCGCCGACCUGGUGUAACUGGCGAUGGAAUGGAACGGGCUGGCAAGAGAAAGACGACAGGACCUCUGGGGAGGGAAAGAUCUCAUCAGCGGAGGCAAAGACACAGACUCCAACGCCAGCGACUUCUCUCCAAUCGACACAGGAUGUCGGCCGUCCAGCUCCGCAAAUACCAUCUUGUUGGAUGUCUGACAUUCGCGAGCUGUCCACUUUUGUUACGUCCGCUGGUGAUUCCUGCACCGACGAAGAAAGGUUCACCGAUUGGAGAUCUUCAAAAAGCAACGGAAAACCCGCACCUGGCUCUGACAGUACUGACGGUACUAACGAUGACUCCAUUU